rnacentral:rRNA from 1 species
UACGUAGGGCGCAAGCGUUGUCCGGAAUUAUUGGGCGUAAAGAGCUCGUAGGCGGUCUGUCGCGUCGGCUGUGAAAACCCGGGGCUCAACCCCGGGCCUGCAGUCGAUACGGGCAGACUAGAGUGUGGUAGGGGAGACUGGAAUUCCUGGUGUAGCGGUGGAAUGCGCAGAUAUCAGGAGGAACACCGGUGGCGAAGGCGGGUCUCUGGGCCAUUACUGACGCUGAGGCGCGAAAGCCAGGGGAGCGAACGGG